rnacentral:lncRNA from 1 species
UCUUUAUCCCUAGUUUCUUUAGUUCAUCAAUUAAAUCAUAAAAAGCUUCAUGCAAUUCUUCAAAUGUAAAGUCACUAGGAGUUUCGAAAUUUACCUCAUUUUCAUAUGCCAUAAGGCACAAGUUGGCUUGUUCAGUUGAGUCUUCCUCCUCGGAGCUUGAGUCAUCACUCCCACUCCAAGUGGCCAUCAUGGCCUUCUUCUUGUACUUCUUGAGACCCUUCUUUAGUUGUAGGUAUUCGACUUGAAGUGUCCCGAUUUCUUACAUUCAUAGCAGAUAAAGGGUUGGUCUUUAUCCUUUUCUUUGCUCUGUUUCCCUUUUGUGAAUGGCCUCUUCCUCAUUCCUU